UGGGGAAUAUUGCACAAUGGGCGCAAGCCUGAUGCAGCCAUGCCGCGUGUGUGAAGAAGGCCUUCGGGUUGUAAAGCACUUUCAGCGAGGAGGAAGGUGGUGAACUUAAUACGUUCAUCAAUUGACGUUACUCGCAGAAGAAGCACCGGCUAACUCCGUGCCAGCAGCCGCGGUAAUACGGAGGGUGCAAGCGUUAAUCGGAAUUACUGGGCGUAAAGCGCACGCAGGCGGUUUGUUAAGUCAGAUGUGAAAUCCCCGGGCUCAACCUGGGAACUGCAUUUGAAACUGGCAAGCUAGAGUCUCGUAGAGGGGGGUAGAAUUCCAGGUGUAGCGGUGAAAUGCGUAGAGAUCUGGAGGAAUACCGGUGGCGAAGGCGGCCCCCUGGACGAAGACUGACGCUCAGGUGCGAAAGCGUGGGGAGCAAAACAGGAUUAGAUACCCUGGUAGUCCACGCUGUAAAACGAUGUCGAUUUGGAGGUUGUGCCCUUGAGGCGUGGCUUCNNGNUGCAUACGCGUUAAAUCGACCGCCUGGGGAGUACGGCCGCAAGGUUAAAACUCAAAUGAAUUGACGGG
rnacentral:rRNA from 1 species